rnacentral:rRNA from 1 species
GAUGAACGCUGGCGGCGUGCCUAAUACAUGCAAGUCGAGCGAAGAGGGGACGGGUGAGUGCAACGUGGAUAACAUCCUAUAAGACUGGGAUAACUUCGGGAAACCGGUGGUAAAACCGAAACUUAUAGAUGGAUCCGCAGUGCAUUAGCUAGUUGGUAAGGUAACGGCUUACCAAGGCAAUGAUGAAUAGCCGACCUGAGAGGAUGAUCGGCCACACUGGAACUGAGACACGGUCCAGACUCCUACGGGAGGCAGCAGUAGGGAAUCUUCCGCAAUGGGCGAAAGCCUGACGGAGCAACGCCGCGUGAGUGAAGAAGGUCUUCGGAUCGUAAAGCUCUGUUAUUAGGGAAGCGGUACCCAAUCAGAAAGCCACGGCUAACUACGUGCCAGCAGCCGCGGUAAUAC